GACGAACGCUGGCGGCGUGCUUAACACAUGCAAGUCGAACGGAAAGGCCCUGCUUUUGUGGGGUGCUCGAGUGGCGAACGGGUGAGUAACACGUGAGUAACCUGCCCUUGACUUUGGGAUAACUUCAGGAAACUGGGGCUAAUACCGGAUAGGAGCUCCUGCUGCAUGGUGGGGGUUGGAAAGUUUCGGCGGUUGGAGAUGGACUCGCGGCUUAUCAGCUUGUUGGUGGGGUAGUGGCUUACCAAGGCUUUGACGGGUAGCCGGCCUGAGAGGGUGACCGGCCACAUUGGGACUGAGAUACGGCCCAGACUCCUACGGGAGGCAGCAGUGGGGAAUAUUGCACAAUGGGCGGAAGCCUGAUGCAGCAACGCCGCGUGCGGGAUGACGGCCUUCGGGUUGUAAACCGCUUUCGCCUGUGACGAAGCGUGAGUGACGGUAAUGGGUAAAGAAGCACCGGCUAACUACGUGCCAGCAGCCGCGGUGAUACGUAGGGUGCGAGCGUUGUCCGGAUUUAUUGGGCGUAAAGGGCUCGUAGGUGGUUGAUCGCGUCGGAAGUGUAAUCUUGGGGCUUAACCCUGAGCGUGCUUUCGAUACGGGUUGACUUGAGGAAGGUAGGGGAGAAUGGAAUUCCUGGUGGAGCGGUGGAAUGCGCAGAUAUCAGGAGGAACACCAGUGGCGAAGGCGGUUCUCUGGGCCUUUCCUGACGCUGAGGAGCGAAAGCGUGGGGAGCGAACAGGCUUAGAUACCCUGGUAGUCCACGCUGUAAACGGUGGGUACUAGGUGUGGGGUCCAUUCCACGGGUUCCGUGCCGUAGCUAACGCUUUAAGUACCCCGCCUGGGGAGUACGGCCGCAAGGCUAAAACUCAAAGGAAUUGACGGGGCCCCGCACAAGCGGCGGAGCAUGCGGAUUAAUUCGAUGCAACGCGUAGAACCUUACCUGGGUUUGACAUGGAUCGGGAGUGCUCAGAGAUGGGUGUGCCUCUUUUGGGGUCGGUUCACAGGUGGUGCAUGGCUGUCGUCAGCUCGUGUCGUGAGAUGUUGGGUUAAGUCCCGCAACGAGCGCAACCCUUGUUCACUGUUGCCAGCACGUUAUGGUGGGGACUCAGUGGAGACCACCGGGGUCAACUCGGAGGAAGGUGGGGAUGACGUCGAGUCAUCAUGCCCCUUAUGUCCAGGGCUUCACGCAUGCUACAAUGGCUGGUACAGAGAGUGGCGAGCCUGUGAGGGUGAGCGAAUCUCGGAAAGCCGGUCUCAGUUCGGAUUGGGGUCUGCAACUCGACCUCAUGAAGUCGGAGUCGCUAGUAAUCGCAGAUCAGCAACGCUGCGGUGAAUACGUUCCCGGG
rnacentral:rRNA from 1 species